UACGUAGGGGGCAAGCGUUGUCCGGAUUUAUUGGGCGUAAAGAGCGUGUAGGCGGCUUUACAGGUCCGUUGUGAAAACUCGAGGCUCAACCUCGAGACGUCGGUGGAAACCGUAAGGCUAGAGUCCGGAAGAGGAGAGUGGAAUUCCUGGUGUAGCGGUGAAAUGCGCAGAUAUCAGGAAGAACACCCGUGGCGAAGGCGGCUCCUCUGG
rnacentral:rRNA from 1 species